AACCCAUGAUGAGACACCUUUUCAAUAGAUCCUUGUAUCUCUCCCAUGCAUCAUAAAGUGUUUCUAAAUCCAUCUGCAUAAAAGAAGAGAUAUCACUCCUCAAUUU
rfam:Gossypium hirsutum cultivar TM-1 chromosome 11, whole genome shotgun sequence